UACGUAGGGGGCAAGCGUUGUCCGGAUUUAUUGGGCGUAAAGAGCGUGUAGGCGGCUGGGUAGGUCCGUUGUGAAAACUCGAGGCUCAACCUCGAGACGCCGAUGGAAACCCCCCAGCUAGAGUCCGGAAGAGGAGAGUGGAAUUCCUGGUGUAGCGGUGAAAUGCGCAGAUAUCAGGAAGAACACCCGUGGCGAAGGCGGCUCUCUAGUACGGUACUGACGCUGAGACGCGAAAGCGUGGGGAGCGAACAGG
rnacentral:rRNA from 1 species